UACGUAGGGGGCAAGCGUUGUCCGGAAUCAUUGGGCGUAAAGCGCGUGUGAGGCGGCUGGGUAAGUCCGCUCUGAAAGCCCGGGGCUCAACCUGGGAAUGGCAUUGGAAACUGGCUUGCUGGAGUGUGGCAGAGGGGGGUGGAAUUCCGCGUGUAGCAGUGAAAUGCGUAGAGAUGCGGAGGAACACCGAUGGCGAAGGCAGCCCCCUGGGCCAACACUGACGCUCAGGCACGAAAGCGUGGGGAGCAAACAGG
rnacentral:rRNA from 1 species